CACUUUCGUGAUCAUUGCUUUCACUUUCACUAGAAGAAUCCAUCGUAUCUUGUUUGGCAACCAGGCUAAUCGUUUGUAUUCGAUAUCUUCAUAUUUUGGAUUAAUCGUAAAAAAAGAUGUAUUAAACGGAUUACACACAUUGUAAUAUCUUUCCCAAAAGGCACUAAUAGCGGUCUUAUUUGUAUUGGCCUGUUGACGUAGAGUCGUGCUUUGGGAUCAUUUUGUACAGGGUAAGAUUUUCUUAAGUGAUGACCAAUAAGCGAAGAACUUAUAAAAGCCCUCCUGGUUUGAAGAGCUUUUACAGCAUCGCGUAUCAUUUGUGGAGUGAUUGAAGAUGGAAAACCCCAGUAAAGUGACGAUGUAGGAUGAGGAUCUACUGGACAGGCAGGACUGCAAAACAAGCAAAUUCUUACAGAUCCAGAGCUCACUUAGAUUGCUGCUCGUCAGAGGAUAGGUCAGUUAAAGUCAACGAAUGUGCCAAAAGGAAUAAUGAAAAAUUGAGGAGUACGUUAUCUUUCUAUACAUCACCAUUGGCCUAACAGACUAAGAGAAAAUCAAG